GAUGAACGCUGGCGGCGUGCCUAAUACAUGCCAGUCGAGCGAACAGACGAGGAGCUUGCUCCUCUGACGUUAGCGGCGGACGGGGGAGUAACACGUGGAUAACCUACCUAUAAGACUGGGAUAACUUCGGGAAACCGGAGCUAAUACCGGAUAAUAUAUUGAACCGCAUGGUUCAAUAGUGAAAGACGGUUUUGCUGGCACUUAUAGAUGGAUCCGCGCCGCAUUAGCUAGUUGGUAAGGUAACGGCUUACCAAGGCAACGAUGCGUAGCCGACCUGAGAGGGUGAUCGGCCACAAUGGAACUGAGAAACGGUCCAGACUCCUACGGGAGGCAGCAGUAGGGAAUCUUCCGGAAUGAGCGAAGGCCGGACGGAGCAACGCCGCGUGAGUGAUGAAGGUCUUCGGAUCGUAAAACUCUGUUAUUAGGGAAGAACAAAUGUGUAAGUAACUAUGCACGUCUUGACGGUACCUAAUCAGAAAGCCACGGCUAACUACGUG
rnacentral:rRNA from 1 species